UACGUAGGUGACAAGCGUUGUCCGGAUUUACUGGGCGUAAAGAGCGCGCAGGCGGUCGUUCAAGUCGAGUGUGAAAGCCCCCCGGCUCAACUGGGGAGGGUCACUCGAUACUGAUCGACUCGAAGGCAGGAGAGGGAAGUGGAAUUCCCGGUGUAGUGGUGAAAUGCGUAGAUAUCGGGAGGAACACCAGUGGCGAAGGCGACUUCCUGGCCUGUUCUUGACGCUGACGGCGCGAAAGCUAAGGGGAGCAAACGGGGAUUAAGAAACC
rnacentral:rRNA from 1 species